UAAGGAAUAUUGGUCAAUGGACGCAAGUCUGAACCAGCCAUGCCGCGUGAAGGAUGAAGGUCCUCUGGAUUGUAAACUUCUUUUAUCUGGGACGAAAACGGGAUUUUUAUCUCAAUUGACGGUACCAGAGGAAUAAGCACCGGCUAACUCCGUGCCAGCAGCCGCGGUAAUACGGAGGGUGCGAGCGUUAUCCGGAUUUACUGGGUUUAAAGGGUGCGUAGGUGGGCUUAUAAGUCAGUGGUGAAAUCUCCGAGCUUAACUUGGAAACUGCCGUUGAUACUAUAGGUCUUGAAUUAUCUGGAGGUAAGCGGAAUAUGUCAUGUAGCGGUGAAAUGCUUAGAUAUGACAUAGCACACCAAUUGCGAAGGCAGCUCACUACAUAUAAAUUGACGCUGAGGCACGAAAGCGUGGGGAUCAAACA
rnacentral:rRNA from 1 species